rnacentral:sRNA from 1 species
ACACUCUACCACCAUGAAUCCACUUCUGAUCCUUACCUUUGUUGCAGCUGCUGCUGCUGCCCCCUUUGAUGAUGAUGACAAGAUCGUUGGGGGCUACACCUGUGAGGAGAAUUCUGUCCCCUACCAGGUGUCCCUGAAUUCUGGCUACCACUUCUGCGGUGGGUCCCUCAUCAGCGAACAGUGGGUGGUGUCAGCAGGUCACUGCUACAAGUCGUAAGUGUGGGGCCCCUGACUGCAAAGCUCUCAGCCAGGCUGCCCGGGAGAGCUUGGAUUCAGCCCAGGGAAGUACUGAGGUUGGGUAGGAUGGACGAGAGAGAUAGUGGAGAAGAAAACUUGUUGGCAGCAGCUGACUCUCCAGAGCAGAGUGAACACAAGACAGGAAGCUCUCACACCGAGACAAAUCCAUGAAACAGCAAGGGUUGUGGUCAUAAAAGCAGGCAGGGAUCAUCUUGGGGUGGUCAGAGCUAGUGAGAAAAGCAGGCAAGAACUUUUGCUGGUUAGCUACACAUUAAAGCCACCUAAGAAUGAGUAUUUAAAAAUACUGAUGCCUGUGUC